CAACAAAGCUGGAGAAGAAGGGACGUGGGGGGAACAGGGGAAUAAAGGUCCACAGAGGAGGAAAGUAACACACAGGACCCCCGCAUCAUUUCACCUGGACACUUGGAGGAAGGAUUGGAAGAUCGAAGGAGGGAGAGGGGAGCCAAAGGUGACAGAGAACAGUGGCUGACACGCACUGGACAGGACUCCUUUAUUUCUCUUCAUGGUGGUUUGGACACUCGUAGUAUGUAUGAGAAGUUAACCAUGCUGAACCUGCAGAGCGGCUCAAACUGGAGUGGGCCUAACAACUGGUACCAUGACCCCACCAGUGUUCAAACACAACACAGCACAGUGUCUGAGGGCUGCCUGCUGGACACCGAGGGCAG